rnacentral:snRNA from 2 species
AGCCGUGUGAUGAGCACAUAGCGAACUAUUCUUUCGCCUUUUACUAAAGAAUACCGUGUGCACGUCACUAAAAGCGGCAUACGCUAAUUUUUGAAAGAGUCCUCCUUAAUGAGGGUU